AGAAAUUGAUGGAAAUUCUUGAAAAUCCGCAAUAACUUUUUAUUGGGUGUACCGAUUUUGAUAAUUCUUUUUUUGUUGAAAAGGGGAUAUCCCUAGUUUGGUACCAUGAUAAGGAAACCAGGAUCUGAUGAUGGGAUCCCAGAGAAAUCGAGGGAACUUCUUGAAAAUCCGCAAUAACUUUUUACUGGGUGUACCGAUUUUGAUGAUUUUUAAUUUAAUCGAAAGCUGAUGUUUAUCAUGUGGUCACAUUUAUUUCGGAUUUCAUUGAGAUCCGAUUACAAGUUUUUGAGUUAUCUUUGACUAGCUGGUACCCGCGACU
rnacentral:misc_RNA from 1 species